rnacentral:rRNA from 1 species
AAACGCUGGGAGGGUGGCCUAAACCUGCAAGUGGGAACCAGGGGAACCCAUAGCUUGCUCUCGUGGUGACGAGUGGCGGACGGGUGAGUAAUGUCUGGGAAACUGCCUGAUGGAGGGGGAUAACUACUGGAAACGGUAGCUAAUACCGCAUAACGUCGCAAGACCAAAGAGGGGGACCUUCGGGCCUCUUGCCAUCAGAUGUGCCCAGAUGGGAUUAGCUAGUAGGUGGGGUAAUGGCUCACCUAGGCGACGAUCCCUAGCUGGUCUGAGAGGAUGACCAGCCACACUGGAACUGAGACACGGUCCAGACUCCUACGGGAGGCAGCAGUGGGGAAUAUUGCACAAUGGGCGCAAGCCUGAUGCAGCCAUGCCGCGUGUAUGAAGAAGGCCUUCGGGUUGUAAAGUACUUUCAGCGGGGAGGAAGGUGUUGUGGUUAAUAACCGCAGCAAUUGACGUUACCCGCAGAAGAAGCACCGGCUAACUCCGUGCCAGCAGCCGCGGUAAUACGGAGGGUGCAAGCGUUAAUCGGAAUUACUGGGCGUAAAGCGCACGCAGGCGGUCUGUCAAGUCGGAUGUGAAAUCCCCGGGCUCAACCUGGGAACUGCAUUCGAAACUGGAAGGCUAGAGUCUUGUAGAGGGGGGUAGAAUUCCAGGUGUAGCGGG